CUGAGUCCAGGACAACAUUUUUAAAUGGCUGUAUCAAUUAUCACAGUUUUUCUCUCCAUCUCUGGCAUUGUGAAAAACUUUAAUUCAACAAAACCCAAAUUGCUGAAAACCCAAACCUCUUUUCUGUACUUGUAAGGUAUUUAAGUGCUACCUUUAAGAAACCACUUGCAACGCCCCAAAUGCUUACUGAUGCUCUAACAAACCAAAUUAUAAGCAGUGUUUAUUCUUGAGCAUUAUUAACUUGAAGCAUUUCUGGCUCAUAGGGAAUCUUAGCUCAAGUCUAUCCCAAUUCAGAAUAAGGCCAGGGUUCCCAGUUAUCUGCAAAUCAGAAAUUUUUAUGUAACCCUUGGAAAUUGCAAUUGCUAUUUGAAAUCAUGUGUUCGCUUAUUACACAAUGAAGGGUUGAGCAAGCCAGAACAGCUGAUUAGAAUUGGGAAGCUUUGAGAUUCCCAGCCCAGAGCUUCUGCUUUGUGAGGAGGAGUACUGAAAACCCACAAGAUCUACCAGUGAAGUCCUACCUGCUUUUAGUCUUCUAGCAACUGGCAAAACAGAAGAAUUGUGUGUAUAUAGAACUGUAACAAGAUGUUUUUUUAUGUGAAGAGGCCAGCUGGUAAUCCAUGUUUGCAAUUCCUUCUCAACUAUUGCAAGGGAUGGGAAGAUAACUGCACCAUAGAGACUGAGGGAUGCAGCUUGAGGACUGGUCCAUGAACAUCUGAAGAGCUGAUAGAUACACCCUCAAUCCAAACAUCUCUGGGCAGCUCUACUGUUGUAAGAGGAAGGGAACCAAUUCUAGGAGCACACUCCCAUGCAGGAACUCAAAUAGUGGAGACCCAGGUGCUGAGGAAAAAGGAAGAAACUAAGAAAAGAAAUAGAAGAACUUGUAAGCAAGAUUGCUUACGUUGGAUUCUGGAUGAACAGCAAGAUCCUGUUUUCACUGCUGCUGGAAAUUUUUAAGCAGCAAGAAGAUAAAUCUGUGAAGAAGGAAACACACAAAGCUAGAAGAUGGAGGUAUAUGAGAAUCCUUGACUUAGCUUAGAAACACUAAAUUUGUCUUAGUGUAACUAUUUGGUAAAUCCUCUAUUAGUAUUCUUGCUGUUCCUCAGAAAAUUCUGCAGACUUGUAAACCAGCUGUUUAUUUCCUUCAGUCCUAAUCUUAUGUUUGCAAGAAAAGCGUUUGGAAGCUUGAACUUUGGCUGAAUCAUUUUUCCAUUCCUUCAAAUUGUGGUCACAGAAGAUCAUUACAAAUUAACCAUGGAAUCUGGACUGCUGAAUUUGUCUGCAAUUUGUUCUGUUACUGGGUACUGUUAGACUGGAGAAAGGAAAAGUCCUGCAAAAUAAUAUGAACUGUUGUGUUGGUUUAAAUAUGCAGGUCCAACCACCCAUUUCUUGUGAUUGUAUCAUAACUGUGUGUUUUCAUUUUCUGCCUAUAAAAUGUGGCAAAUGCUUUCUUCUUCCCAUCAUAUAUAAAAUUAUAUGCUCUUUAGGGUAGUGACUUUUCCAUUCACAGCAUUCAGAUGAACCUCUGUGUCCCUUAAGCACCCAACGCUGUUACCAAGAAAAUGUUCUUAAGUCUUUGGCCACUAGCUCACUAUCCAAGACAAACAGAAUGGUCAGAGUCUGCACUCACAGGGACCAUAUACUUAAUGAAGUCUUGGUGUACAAAAAAAACUAUUUCAUUAUAUUCUUGACAUCACCGUUCAUCUUGACAUUGUGGUGUUUCAGGUGUUUUUUUUGGUUGUGUUUCUUUUUUGCAGCCAAUUUGAUUUUGAAGGGUGGGAAGGAUGUUUUCUCUAUUGUGUGCUUCUUCAUGGAGUAUUCUGUUGCAUUAACAAGUUAAAAAAAGAAAAAUAGAAAAAAAUGAAGAGUCUAUCUGGCCUAGUUCAAAUGAAGUACAACUUUCACUGGCACAGUUAACAGCCUUUCUAAAGAUAGUUGUUACAUGGAUUAUACAGUUCUGUUUUGACAUAGUAUAUGUCUAGCAUUAUAUAUUUAUCUAAAAUAUAAUUUAUUAAAUUAAAGUAGCUCAAAACCACG